rnacentral:rRNA from 1 species
CGGACGGGUGAGUAAUACAUAGGAAUCUGCCCAGUAGCGGGGGACAACUCGGAGAAAUCCGAGCUAAUACCGCAUACGCCCUACGGGGGAAAGCAGGGGAUCUUCGGACCUUGCACUAUUGGAUGAGCCUAUGUCAGAUUAGCUUGUUGGUGGGGUAACGGCCUACCAAGGCGACGAUCUGUAACUGGUCUGAGAGGACGAUCAGCCACACUGGGACUGAGACACGGCCCAG